rnacentral:rRNA from 1 species
GAACGCUGAAGCCCCAGCUUGCUGGGCUCGGAUGAGUGGCGAACGGUGUGAGUNACACGUGAGUNNCCUGCCCCCGACUUCGGGAUAAGCCCGGGAAACUGGGUCUAAUACCGAAUAUGACCAACGCUCGCAUGAGUGUUGGUGGAAAGUUUUUUCGGUUGGGGAUGGGCUCGCGGCCUAUCAGUUUGUUGGUGAGGUAAUGGCUCACCAAGACGACGACGGGUAGCCGGCCUGAGAGGGCGACCGGCCACACUGGGACUGAGACACGGCCCAGACUCCUACGGGAGGCAGCAGUGGGGAAUAUUGCACAAUGGGGGAAACCCUGAUGCAGCGACGCAGCGUGCGGGAUGACGGCCUUCGGGUUGUAAACCGCUUUCAGCAGGGAAGAAGCCACCUUUGGUGUGACGGUACCUGCAGAAGAAGUACCGGCUAACUACGUGCCAGCAGCCGCGGUAAUACGUAGGGUACAAGCGUUGUCCGGAAUUAUUGGGCGUAAAGAGCUCGUAGGUGGUUGGUCACGUCUGCUGUGGAAACGCAACGCUUAACGUUGCGCGUGCAGUGGGUACGGGCUGACUAGAGUGCAGUAGGGGAGUCUGGAAUUCCUGGUGUAGCGGUGAAAUGCGCAGAUAUCAGGAGGAA